rnacentral:rRNA from 1 species
AACGCGAAGAACCUUACCCAGACUUGACAUGCAGCGGACCGUACCAGAAAUGGUACUUCCCUUCGGGGCUGCUGCACAGGUGCUGCAUGGCUGUCGUCAGCUCGUGUCGUGAGAUGUUGGGUUAAGUCCCGCAACGAGCGCAACCCUUAUCUCCAGUUGCUACCAUUUAGUUGAGCACUCUGGCGAAACCGCCUCGGAUAACGGGGAGGAAGGUGGGGAUGACGUCAAGUCCUCAUGGCCUUUAUGUCCAGGGCUACACACGUGCUACAAUGGCCGGUACAAACCGCUGCAACCCCGCGAGGGUGAGCUAAUCGGAAAAAGCCGGCCUCAGUUCGGAUUGGAGUCUGCAACUCGACUCCAUGAAGCUGGAAUCGCUAGUAAUCGUGGAUCAGCAUGCCACGGUGAAUACGUUCCCGGGCCUUGUACACACCGCUAGUC